rnacentral:lncRNA from 1 species
GAGGCAGUCCAGCCGCAGGGGCCACCCGAACAGUCUCUCCUCCUCACAGAAGCCUGGAGCUGGGCAUCCAAGAAGAAGCAGCCUCAUUUGUUUUCUGGUGUCAUCGUAGGUGGCCACCUAUGGCUUUUGGGCUUCUCACCUGGGGCGGGUGGGUUCUGCACCACCCUCCCACCCUCCUUCCUCCGUGUGGACGAUAGAGCCACAUCCAGCACCACGGACAGCUCCCGGGCGAUCCCAUGGGAGUAGAAGAGGUGUGAGCAGGUUGCCCAGCUGGUUAGCGGAAAUGCCAAGAUCCAGGCUCCUGAAUUUCAGCCUGGCCCUUUCUAUCUGUCUGAUACCUCCUUUACGAGUCUCUCUGCCUGCGUUGUGUGGAGCGGGCCUGCUGCUGGUUGGGGGAGUUUGCAGGUUGCCCCUAUGCAAAAAAGGACAGGAUGCAUGACUGGCAUCCUUCAUCUCCUCGUCCUCCAGGCAGCACAAGCCAUUGUGGAAUCUCCACCAGGUGUACAGAACGGUGCCUCUGCGUCCUGCCACUCAGGACCUCUCAAGUCCCCGAUGUGAUGGCUCCUCAGCAUGAUCAGGAACCAAAAAGAAGAAUGUACUUCAUCUGGUUGGGCUGGAUUCCCUCUGAUAAGCCUUCCCAGUUGACUGAAAGAUGAGGCUAGGCUCUAGCAAGUUGAAGUCAAACCAGCUCCUUCAAGAAGCUUUGAGCAGAAUGAAGUGGGGAGGACCCAGCUUCCAGCCCAGGAAGCCCACUGUACCUGGAGCCAUCUGGGAUAAGACUUUGACCCAUGACUCCCAUAUCCACAGCCUGUCCAUCCUAGCCCAUCCCAGUUUAUCCUGUAUCAUUUGAGCUGGGAUUCCCACAUCCUCUGAGUUGGAAGUCCCAUCUCAAGUCUUCAAUAAAGACUCUUGAAUAUUGAAUCACAUUAA